rnacentral:rRNA from 1 species
CCUACGGGGGGCAGCAGUAGGGAAUAUUGCUCAAUGGGGGAAACCCUGAAGCAGCAACGCCGCGUGGAGGAUGAAGGUUUUCGGAUUGUAAACUCCUUUUGUUAGAGAAGAAAAUGACGGUAUCUAACGAAUAAGCACCGGCUAACUCCGUGCCAGCAGCCGCGGUAAUACGGAGGGUGCAAGCGUUACUCGGAAUCACUGGGCGUAAAGAGGGCGUAGGCGGGAUAGCAAGUCAGAUGUGAAAUCCUAUGGCUUAACCAUAGAACUGCAUUUGAAACUGUUAUUCUAGAGUAUGGGAGAGGUAGGUGGAAUUCUUGGUGUAGGGGUGAAAUCCGUAGAGAUCAAGAGGAAUACUCAUUGCGAAGGCGACCUGCUAGAACAUAACUGACGCUGAUGCGCGAAAGCGUGGGGAGCAAACAGGAUUAGAUACCCUAGUAGUC